rnacentral:misc_RNA from 1 species
UCUUUGCAUAAUUGGCAGAAAACUGUUGAAGUAAUAUAGUAGUGUAAUCCCUUAAUACUAGUGUCAGGUAUAACAGUUAGGUGGUGUAAAUAAUCGAAGGUCAAAAACUGAAAAGAAUGGCUAAGAGUUCUGUUAUAGAAAACUACAGAAGUUUGUUAGUUAAGGGGGAAGUUCCGUUUCAGUGUUUUAAGAAAGACGUAUGAUUGCUG